ACUACAGAGAAGUGUGGAGCCCACGGAGAAAAUGGAAUCCAUUUAGCCCCAUGUGUGGUGCACACCUCUAAUCCCAGGACUCUGGGAAGCUGAGGCAGGAAGAUUGCAAGUUCAAGCCCAGCCUGGGGAACUUAGUGACUUCAGGAGACUCUUCAGGAAGGCAAGGCUGGAGGGCUGUAUAGCGACGGCCUCUUGCCUUCUCUGCUGCAGGAAACUAGUGUCAACAUCCUGGAGUCCACAGGCAAAAGACACAGCUGAUGACGAUGGGCCAACUGGUCUCCCUGCCUGGGCUGUGCUCAUGCCCUGCUGCAUCUGUGGACAAGGGGAUGCAUAUGAAGUGCAGAG
rnacentral:lncRNA from 1 species